UGGGGAAUAUUGCACAAUGGGCGAAAGCCUGAUGCAGCAACGCCGCGUGAGUGAUGAAGGUCUUCGGAUUGUAAAGCUCUGUCUUUUGGGACGAUAAUGACGGUACCAAAGGAGGAAGCCACGGCUAACUACGUGCCAGCAGCCGCGGUAAUACGUAGGUGGCGAGCGUUGUCCGGAUUUACUGGGCGUAAAGGGUGCGUAGGCGGAUGUUUAAGUGAGAUGUGAAAUACCCGGGCUUAACUUGGGUGCUGCAUUUCAAACUGGAUAUCUAGAGUGCAGGAGAGGAGAAUGGAAUUCCUAGUGUAGCGGUGAAAUGCGUAGAGAUUAGGAAGAACACCAGUGGCGAAGGCGAUUCUCUGGACUGUAACUGACGCUGAGGCACGAAAGCGUGGGUAGCAAACAGGAUUAGAUACCCUGGUAGUCCACGCCGUAAACGAUGAGUACUAGGUGUAGGAGGUAUCGACCCCUUCUGUGCCGCAGUAAACACAUUAAGUACUCCGCCCGGGAAGUACGAUCGCAAGAUUAAAAC
rnacentral:rRNA from 1 species